rnacentral:misc_RNA from 1 species
AACCUUAUGGACCUGCGGGCGUAUACCUGCGGAAGGAUCAUUAACGAGUGAGGGUCCCUCCGGGGCCCGACCUCCCAACCCUCUGUCUACAAGAACCUCCGUUGCUUCGGCGGACCCGUCUCCACGACCGCCGGGGGAGCCGCCCCUCGUGGGCGUCCCCUGGCCCGCGUCCGGCCGGUGGCCAACCUCUCCAAAACUCUUGCCUAAACCGUGUCUUUUAUGUCUGAGUCCAUGAUGCAA